CUGCUAUUUGUAACCUUAAAAAAAAAAAAAAGACACAAAACUCCUCGAGGUGUUUUUCCAAUUCUUGGGACAGCCUUUCAGGGUUUGUUUUUACGUUCACAAAUUCAUCCUGUUCUCCUGGCAAAGCCGAGAGGCGGGCGGCCGUGGUUCUCUUCCUUGUUUUCUAGAUGACUAAGCGGAGGAGGCUCAGAGAGGUGAAGACAGUUGUCCCUGGUCACCCAGCUAGCGAGUGCUGGGCUGGGGUCUGAACCCCUCUCACCACCAACUGUUACUUGCUCCUCUGCCAUAUAACUCGGGCUUCCGCAUAGUUUUCCUUUGGAGAAAGGGAUAGAGAGCUUAAAAAUAAUUGGAAACCAGCGCACCAGACCAAGCGAAGUCCGGGGACUCGUGCCUGGCGGAUCGGCGUGUGAUAAGAGAGCUGCCCCGAUUCUCAGCUCGGAUGUUGGCCCACAGCCCUACUGUGGCCGGCCCCUGACUAGACCUAUCCUCAUCCCACUGACGAACUCAGAGGGGGCUGCCCAGGGCUGGGCAAGCACUGUCUCCUGCGAUCUACUGGAACCAUCUACCAGCUUGUUGCCAGGCCUAAGGUAUACCGGGGAAACCGUGGCUGACACGAAGGAGGCCUGAAGAAACAUCAGCCACUGUAAUUUUUAUUAUUAUCACCGUACCUAUUGAGAGAGAAGUCAACAGAUGUGUGGAAGGAUGGCCGGAUGUGCAGACGGCUGGAUGGAUGGGCAGACGGAUGGCGGCGUG